rnacentral:rRNA from 1 species
UACGAAGGGGGCGAGCGUUAUUCGGAAUCACUGGGCGUAAAGCGUGCGUAGGCUGUUUUGUAAGUUGGAAGUGAAAGCCCAGGGCUCAACCCUGGAAUUGCUUUCAAAACUACAAGACUCGAAUCUCGGAGAGGAUAGCGGAAUUUCCAGUGUAGUAGUGAAAUACGUAGAUAUUGGAAGGAACACCAGUGGCGCAAGCGGCUAUCUGGACGAGUAUUGACGCUGAGGCACGAAAGCGUGGGGAGCAAACAGG